rnacentral:lncRNA from 1 species
AGAAUAACAUAUAAAAUACAAAAGUGAUGAUAGUCACGUCUUACCUUACAACAAUCCAACUCAAUACCUUUCCUUCAAUCCAACUCUACAGCAAAAUUCUGGGCUUGACCCCUCAUAUAAAUACAAAAUUUCAAGAAAAAACCCUUCUCAAAAUAUAUCCCAUGAAUAAAAAAAAAAAGACUGGCCCUAUUUCUUGUUUCUUACUUAAUUCUUUUGAGAAAAAAAUUCUAACUUUUUCUCAAAUUAACAACAAUGACUGAAGUACUCCAAUCAUCCCCUUCUCAUCACUUCCCUUCUCCUUCAAGCUCCACCUCUACACCAUGUGUUGUCAGCACCAAUGAUGUUGACAUCCCACACCAGCACCAACCACAGCACCGUCCUCAUAAUAGACCCCAUGAAAUAUUAG